GGAUACCUAUUCACAGGAUAUGCAGUUCAUCUGCGGAACUCAUUGCCAUGGGAUGAUGCCAAAGUCAGACAAGAGAAAAACUGGUUUCAGGUCAUAUUACGUGGAUUCACACACAGGACUAUUCAUCAUCAUUCUGAAUAUACUCCUAAUCUUGUGACUGCUGAAAAGUGUGAAUGAAUAAGUGGGUGAGCUCUCCUACAGUCAUCCAGCACAUGUGUAAAAGGUGUGCAACAAUGGAAAAGAACAUACAAGAAAACUCCAAUAUAAGCCAGAAAUUGAGAGCCACCUGAGGUUAUAAACAAGUCCAGUGUUAAGAAGAGAUUGUCGGUUGCUGAAUAUGCAGUGACAUGGAUGCAAAGGACCUGAUUUGAAUUUUCUGAAUCCUUUGUUGCCAAUUCCUGCCUUGUUCUGCCUUGUUUGCUCCUGCCACUAGUGCUCACGAUAGAAUGCUAAGCAUCCCCACCUCCCCACAAUAGCUUCAAGCGCCCCAGCUGUUUUCUGAGCAUCAUCUGAGCAUCAUCGUCCAAGGAGCCCAAUGAGGCGUGAAUGAGACUGCAGAACAUGGCAGAGGAGUGCAGAGAAGAGGAGACGGUGGAGACCAGAUGGGUCUAGGAGCCAUCCACUGCUACACAUGGAUGGUACAUGAUCCAGCAAUGAACUGCCACUUGCUUCCACAUGUGGGGGCAGCCAGCAUGCAAUGCUAGCUUAGAACCAGUCCCACUCUUCAAAACCUACUUGCCACCACUGCGGCAGGAAAGGCAAAGUGAGGGGCAUGCCAGUAGCAGAUUUUAAUUAAACCAGAAGGUGGAGCUAGAGAGAUCAGCCAGAAUGAGAAUCCUAGGUCAGGGGGCGGAAGCAGAGGCCAAGGAAGAUAUAUGUAUCCUUGCAUGCACAUCCUCAUGUAAAGAACAGAAAUUAUAGUCCGCAAAAUUUCAGCUCCAAAGUCCAAAUAAAUGUGCAGACACUUAUGUUCCAGGAACCAAGCAUCCUGGCAUCAAAUUGCAAGGUGAAACUGUUCUUGAAUUUUGAAGAUGUCGUCGUAAUAUAGGCACUAGCUAUAACCAGCACAGAGAAGGGACAUGCCCAAACAUUUCAAAAUGUGUAUGAUGCGGUACUGGACAUUUUACAUGGAUUCUUAGGGCACCAGUAUGAGUGAACCCAGCCUGGCAAUAUAAUCUUGAGCUGAACAGGAAGCCUAGUUGUUCCUCUGAAAAUGGUAAAAGUGGAUACUGGGCACAUUCUGCCUUAAAAAAAUUAAAGCAGGAAAGAUACACCUGCCUGAUUUAAACAACCAGACAA